GUGGGGAAUCUUCCGCAAUGGACGAAAGUCUGACGGAGCAACGCCGCGUGAGUGAAGAAGGUUUUCGGAUCGUAAAGCUCUUUCGUUAGGGACGAACGUGCUCUUUGUGAAUAAUGAGGAGUAAUGACGGUACCUAAAUAAGAAGCCACGGCUAACUACGUGCCAGCAGCCGCGGUAAUACGUAGGUGGCAAGCGUUGUCCGGAAUUAUUGGGCGUACAGCGCGCGCAGGCGGGAUAUCAAGUCUGUCUUAAAAGUGCGAGGCUCAACCUCGUGAGGGGACAGAAACUGGUAUUCUUGAGUGUCGGAGAGGAAAGUGGAAUUCCAAGUGUAGCGGUGAAAUGCGUAGAGAUUUGGAAGAACACCAGUGGCGAAGGCGACUUUCUGGACGAUGUCUGACGCUGAGGCGCGAAAGCUAGGGGAGCGAACGGGAUUAGAAACCCUGGUAGUCC
rnacentral:rRNA from 1 species